GACGAACGCUGGCGGCGUGCUUAACACAUGCAAGUCGAACGGAAAGGCCCUGCUUUUGUGGGGUGCUCGAGUGGCGAACGGGUGAGUAACACGUGAGUAACAUGCCCUUGACUUUGGGAUAAAUUCAGGAAACUGGGGCUAAUACCGGAUAGGAGCUCCUGCUGCAUGGUGGGGGUUGGAAAGUUUCGGCUGUUGGGGAUGGACUAGAGGCUUAUCCGCUUGAUGGUGGGGUAGGGGCUUACCAAGGCUUUGACGGGUAGGCGGCCUUGGAGGGUGACCGGCCACAUUGGUACUGCGGUACGGCCCAGACGCCUACGGGAGGCAGCAGGGGGGAGUAUUGCACAAUGGGGGGAAGUCUGUUGCAGCAACGCCGCGUGCGGGAUGACGGCCUUCGGGUUGUAAACCGCUUUCGCCUGUGACGAAGCGUGAGUGACGGUAAUGGGUAAAGAAGCACCGGCUAACUACGUG
rnacentral:rRNA from 1 species